GGGGGAAAAAGACGGAGCGGAGGUGGGCUAGGGUUUAGUGGUUUAUUGUUCUAAAUUUCUAAUAAAAAUUUAGUUUACUGUUUUCGUUCACUGUUCCUAUGCACCGCAGCGAAGCUUCUAGGUGACUGGAUCUGGUUCUCCAUCUCCAUUUCUAAAUUUUACAGUUCUCUCUCUUCGCGAAUCGUCUCUUCUUCGCUUCGCCUGAGCCCCUCUUCAGCUCUUCCAGUCUUCCAACUCUUCCUAGAUCCCGUCUCGAUUCUGAAUCUAGAAUCCCUCUUCCCUGACCCUCCCUCACUUCCUUCUUGAAUCUUGGCCUCUUGGCCCUCUUCGGUUCUUCUCUUCCCUUCCUAGUUCCCAUGAUAUGUGAAUUUGUGACCCAUCUCAAAUCCCUCUUCGGCUCUUCCCUCACGUGGGCGUGGCGACGACUCUUCAUGUUGGGUUUUCCCUCCUUGUGGGGCCCAUUCCUUCGAAAGAUGUUUCUUUUUUAUUAUUAUUAUUAUUAUUAUUAUUAUUAUUAUUAUUUUGGGGAAGCAUGAAAUCUUCUGCCUUGCAUUUUCAAAGCCACACACGAUCGUCUUUCUUUCAUUUUUUGGAUUUCCCACACUCACACCAGCAAGCUGCCGUCUCUCCCAUUUUCUUUCAUUCUGUUUCCACUCACACAAAACCUUACCUAGCUCCCAGCACUUGUAGCUAGCAACCUGCAGUCAGCACUAGCGCCGGUCGUCUUCUUCACUACAGCAAGCGGCCGCUGCUUCUUCUUCGUGCGACUCCGACUGCAUAUUAUUAAUAGCAUAUUGAGAUAUUAUCUCAUUUUGGUUGGUUCUUUGGAGUUUUGUUCAGAAUAUUUGGUGAGACAUUUUCAUGUUGCUACAUUUGUUUAUACACUCUUGUAUAUUUGUAAGGCUUAUGCCUUUUGUAUCCAUUUUGUAUCAAUUUGGUGAUAAUGGAUUGGGACGGCCGUGUCCCGUGGACGUACCUCUCAACAUUUGAGGGAACCGUGAUAAAUUUUCUUGUCUCUUUUUUAUUCGAAUUGUUCGUAUAUAAUAUUUCCCUAAUACUUCAUUCAGUGACGCAGUUACCUUCGAGGCUUCGACCUUCCCCUCUUCCCUUGUUUCAGUAUGAAUAGAGGUGUUCUAUUCGUAGUUAAAUCUGUGAGUUAUAUUCACAGUUUCGGAUGGGGGAUUGUCGUUCGUCAUUCAGAUCUUUGACAUCGGAAAACCCGACGGAAUGUGUUUUGAUUUAUUGCUCAAAUUGACGAAUUUCAGUAGGGAUUUCGUUUGUGCUGGUUGUUGCGUCGGUUCAACCGUUGAGUUCAUCGCACCUCCACACAGAUUUACAUCGGUAUACUUUGAUUUAGAUCUAAUUAAAGGAAAAUGAACAAUGACUUGCCUAUAGAAGGGGAGGUGCCAAACUUGGAGGACGCAAUAAUGACGCAAGUCAAUUCCCAUUCCCAACAUCAACCUUCAAAUCCCAGCAUGACAAGUGAAAGUGCUACUAAUUCUCCUACUUAAUCUAAUCAAAAAAUGAGGAAGAGAAUGAGAUCAAGAUCUGAAGUGUGGGAUCAUUUCACUAAAUUUGUGACUGAGUCUGGUGAAAUUGAGGGUGAAAUAAGCAUAGGGAAAGGCUGCACAGAGGACUCACUCAAAAUUGUCACGAGCUAUGUUUAUAUAUAUUUGCACUGGCUUGGCACAACUCAUGUAAUGAUACCUCUUAACUUGGUUAGGGGUAGGAGGGUUGCAGCUUUGAACUUGGUUUGUAGCCUGCCAAGAAGGCUGCAGUGUAGAGAUCUAUUUUGUGUGGUUAUUCUAGUGGUAGUUUGUGAUAUAAGAAGCUGAAGAGUGGGAGUUUUUGAUAUAAGAAGGCAUGAAGUGGUAGCUGCCAGCUGAUGUAUGAAGCAUUGAAGCCCCAGUUUUUGUUUUAAUUUUUCACAAACAAUUUAUAUUUCAUGUUUGGUUUUUGAUUUUAUUUUGCACAAAUUGUUUAAAUUGGUUUGUAAUAUAAUAUUAGGGACUUUGAACUAUUGAACUCAAA